rnacentral:rRNA from 1 species
GAUGAACGCUGGCGGCAUGCCUAAUACAUGCAAGUCGAACGAGAGGAAGGAAAGCUUGCUUUUCUGAAUCUAGUGGCGAACGGGUGAGUAACACGUAGGUAAUCUGCCCAUGUGCCCGGGAUAACUUCUGGAAACGGAUGCUAAAACCGGAUAGGUAGCAGACAAGCCUUUGACUGCUAUUAAAGUGGCUAAGGCCAUAAACAUGGAUGGACCUGCGGUUCAUUAGCUAGUUGGUGAGGUAACGGCCCACAAAGGCGACGAUGCAUAGCCGGCCUGAGAGGGCGGACGGACACAUUGGGACUGAGACACGGCCCAAACUCCUACGGGAGGCAGCAGUAGGGAAUUUUCGUCAAUGGGGGGAACCCUGAACGAGCAAUGCCGCGUGAGUGAGGAAGGUCUUCGGAUCGUAAAGCUCUGUUGUAAGAGAAAAACGGCAUUCAUAGGGAAUGAUGAGUGAGUGAUGGUAUCUUACCAGAAAGUCACGGCUAACUACGUGCCAGCCGCCGCCGUAA